GGAAACGACUGCUAAUACCGCAUAAGCCCACGGCUCGGCAUCGAGCAGAGGGAAAAGGAGCAAUCCGCUUUGAGAUGGCCUCGCGUCCGAUUAGCUAGUUGGUGAGGUAAUGGCCCACCAAGGCGACGAUCGGUAGCCGGACUGAGAGGUUGAACGGCCACAUUGGGACUGAGACACGGCCCAGACUCCUACGGGAGGCAGCAGUGGGGAAUAUUGCACAAUGGGGGAAACCCUGAUGCAGCGACGCCGCGUGGAGGAAGAAGGUCUUCGGAUUGUAAACUCCUGUUGUUGAGGAAGAUAAUGACGGUACUCAACAAGGAAGUGACGGCUAACUACGUGCCAGCAGCCGCGGUAAAACGUAGGUCACAAGCGUUGUCCGGAAUUACUGGGUGUAAAGGGAGCGCAGGCGGGAAGACAAGUUGGAAGUGAAAUCCAUGGGCUCAACCCAUGAACUGCUUUCAAAACUGUUUUUCUUGAGUAGUGCAGAGGUAGGCGGAAUUCCCGGUGUAGCGGUGGAAUGCGUAGAUAUCGGGAGGAACACCAGUGGCGAAGGCGGCCUACUGGGCACCAACUGACGCUGAGGCUCGAAAGUGUGGGUAGCAAACAGGAUUAGAUACCCUGGUAGUCCACACUGUAAACGAUGAUUACUAGGUGUUGGAGGAUUGACCCCUUCAGCGCCGCAGUUAACACAAUAAGUAAUCCACCUGGGGAGUACGACCGCAAGGUUGAAACUCAAAGGAAUUGACGGGGGCCCGCACAAGCAGUGGAGUAUGUGGUUUAAUUCGACGCAACGCGAAGAACCUUACCAAGUCUUGACAUCCUGCGACGCACAUAGAAAUAUGUGUUUCCUUCGGGACGCAGAGACAGGUGGUGCAUGGUUGUCGUCAGCUCGUGUCGUGAGAUGUUGGGUUAAGUCCCGCAACGAGCGCAACCCUUAUGGUCAGUUACUACGCAAGAGGACUCUGGCCAGACUGCCGUUGACAAAACGGAGGAAGGUGGGGAUGACGUCAAAUCAUCAUGCCCUUUAUGACUUGGGCUACACACGUACUACAAUGGCGUUAAACAAAGAGAAGCAAGACCGCGAGGUGGAGCAAACUCAGAAACAACGUCCCAGUUCGGACUGCAGGCUGCAACUCGCCUGCACGAAGUCGGAAUUGCUAGUAAUCGCAGAUCAGCGUGCUGCGGUGAAUACGUUCCCGGGCCUUGUACACACCGCCCGUCACACCAUGAGAGCCGGGGGGACCGAAGUCGGUAGUCUAACCGCAAGGAGGACGCCGCCGAAGGCAAAACUGGUGAUUGGGGUGAAGUCGUAACAAGGUA
rnacentral:rRNA from 1 species